GAUGAACGCUGGCGGCGUGCCUAAUACAUGCAAGUCGAGCGAACAGAUAAGGAGCUUGCUCCUUUGACGUUAGCGGCGGACGGGUGAUUUACACGUGGAUAACCUACCUAUAAGACUGGGAUAACUUCGGGAAACCGGAGCUAAUACCGGAUAACAUAUUGAACCGCAUGGUUCAAUAGUGAAAGGCGGCUUUGCUGUCACUUAUAGAUGGAUCCGCGCCGUAUUAGCUAGUUGGUAAGGUAACGGCUUACCAAGGCAACGAUACGUAGCCGACCUGAGAGGGUGAUCGGCCACACUGGAACUGAGACACGGUCCAGACUCCUACGGGAGGCAGCAGUAGGGAAUCUGCCGCAAUGGGCGCAAGCCUGACGGAGCCACGCCGCGUGAGUGAUGAAGGUCUUCGGAUCGUAAAACUCUGUUAUCAGGGAAGAAAAAAUGUGUAAGUAACUGUGCACAUCUUGACGGUACCUGAUCAGAAAGCAACGGCUAACUACGUG
rnacentral:rRNA from 1 species